AAAAACUACACACUUAUCUACCACACACAAUAUAAAGAAUUUAUAAGAAUUUUCAAUUUACUUCUUUCUGCCUUCGUUUCCGCCUAUUAAUUAUUUCACUAAUCAACUUUCGUGAGAUACCAAUUUACACUCUUGUGCUGAUUAAGGUGGGCGAUGCUCUAUCGGUAGAUUAGGAUACCGAUUUACACUUCUCUUGUGCUGAUUAAAGUGGGCGAUGCCCUAUCGGUAGAUUAAGAUAAGUGUUGGCCAAACUACCUUUUGGUUUUGCAAUGGGAGGACUGAAGUAAUCCAGCUGAAUCGGAAAAUUGUCCAGCAUUGAAAUGUUGCUUUUAAAUCUCAAGUCCAAAAUCCUAAUAUUUUGUUUGUAUUUUGUACAUUUAGAGAGCGAAGAAUGGUAUUGCUCAUAAAUGUUAAAUGUUUAAAUUUUAGAGAAAAUCGAUUUGUGCACUAAAAUUGAACAAAUUAUGUCUCCGUCAUAUUUAUGACGUCGGAUGAAAUUUUCACCUGAGAAGAAUUGGCUAAAACAGAAAGACUGAAAAUUGUAUGUAGUAUAUAAGAAUAUGGACUGAAAUUAGUGUUUAAUAGAAGAGUAAGAUGCUGAAUGAUUGCAUUUAAAGAACAUUCAAAAUAAAAAUAAAGCAAAAUUAAAUACAAGAAUGAAUUUGAGCAUGAGAAACUCGUA